rnacentral:rRNA from 1 species
CGAUCAGCCACACUGGAACUGAGACACGGUCCAGACUCCUACGGGAGGCAGCAGUGGGGAAUAUUGCACAAUGGGCGCAAGCCUGAUGCAGCCAUGCCGCGUGUAUGAAGAAGGCCUUCGGGUUGUAAAGUACUUUCAAUGGUGAGGAAGGUUAUGUAUUUAAUAGAUGCAUAGCUUGACGUUAGCCACAGAAGAAGCACCGGCUAACUCCGUGCCAGCAGCCGCGGUAAUACGGAGGGUGCGAGCGUUAAUCGGAAUUACUGGGCGUAAAGCGCAUGCAGGUGGUCUGUUAAGUCAGAUGUGAAAGCCCGGGGCUUAACCUCGGAAUAGCAUUUGAAACUGUCAGACUAGAGUACUGUAGAGGGGGGUAGAAUUUCAGGUGUAGCGGUGAAAUGCGUAGAGAUCUGAAGGAAUACCGGUGGCGAAGGCGGCCCCCUGGACAGAUACUGACACUCAGAUGCGAAAGCGUGGGGAGCAAACAGGAUUAGAUACCCUGGUAGUCCACGCCGUAAACGAUGUCUACUUGGAGGUUGUGGCCUUGAGCCGUGGCUUUCGGAGCUAACGCGUUAAGUAGACCGCCUGGGGAGUACGGUCGCAAGAUUAAAACUCAAAUGAAUUGACGGGGGCCCGCACAAGCGGUGGAGCAUGUGGUUUAAUUCGAUGCAACGCGAAGAACCUUACCUACUCUUGACAUCUACAGAAGCUUGCGGAGACGCGAGUGUGCCUUCGGGAACUGUAAGACAGGUGCUGCAUGGCUGUCGUCAGCUCGUGUUGUGAAAUGUUGGGUUAAGUCCCGCAACGAGCGCAACCCUUAUCCUUGUUUGCCAGCACGUAAUGGUGGGAACUCCAGGGAGACUGCCGGUGGUAAACCGGAGGAAGGUGGGGACGACGUCAAGUCAUCAUGGCCCUUACGAGUAGGGCUACACACGUGCUACAAUGGCACAUACAGAGGGCAGCCAACUUGCAAAAGUGAGCGAAUCCCAAAAAGUGUGUCGUAGUCCGGAUCGGAGUCUGCAACUCGACUCCGUGAAGUCGGAAUCGCUAGUAAUCGUGGAUCAGAAUGCCACGGUGAAUACGUUCCCGGGCCUUGUACACACCGCCCGUCACACCAUGGGAGUGGGCUGCAAAAGAAGUAGGUAGUUUAACCUUCGGGGGGACGCCUACCACUUUGUGGUUCAUGACUGGGGUGAAGUCGAAACAAGGUA